AACGUAGGAGUCAAACGUUAUCCGGAGUUACUGGGCGUAAAGGGCGUGUAGGUGGUUGCGUAAGUCUGGCGUGAAAUUUUUCGGCUUAACCGGGAAAGGUCGUCGGAUACUGCGUAGCUAGAGGACGGUAGAGGCGUGUGGAAUUCCGGGUGUAGUGGUGAAAUGCGUAGAGAUCCGGAGGAACACCAGUGGCGAAGGCGACACGCUGGGCCGUACCUGACACUGAUGCGCGACAGCAUGGGGAGCAAACAGG
rnacentral:rRNA from 1 species